UACGUAGGGUGCAAGCGUUGUCCGGAAUUAUUGGGCGUAAAGAGCUCGUAGGCGGUUCGUCGCGUCGGCUGUGAAAACCCGGAGCUCAACUCCGGGCCUGCAGUCGAUACGGGCGGACUCGAGUUCGGCAGGGGAGACUGGAAUUCCUGGUGUAGCGGUGAAAUGCGCAGAUAUCAGGAGGAACACCGGUGGCGAAGGCGGGUCUCUGGGCCGAUAUUGACGCUGAGGAGCGAAAGCGUGGGGAGCGAACAGG
rnacentral:rRNA from 1 species